UUGCCUAACACANUGCAAGUCGAACGCUCCGGUUUAUCGCAAGAUUASCSGGGRAGUGGCGAACGGCUGAAGUAACACCGUAAGUAACCUGUCCCUAAGUGGGGGAUAACUUGUCGAAAGGCAGGCUAAUACCGCAUGUGCUGGUAAACGUCAGUUUGUCAGCAAAGCUUUUGCGCUUGGGGAGGGGCUUGCGUCUGAUUAGCUAGUUGGUAAGGUAAUGGCCUACCAAGGCGAUGAUCAAGUAGCUGGUCUGAGAGGACAACCAGCCAGACGGGGACUGAGAUACGGCCCUGACUCCUACGGGAGGCAGCAGCAAGGAAUUUUGCGCAAUGGGCGAAAGCCUGACGCARCGACSCCGCGUGGGGGAUGACGGCCUUCGGGUUGUAAACCCCUUUUCUAGAGGAAGAAAUCUGACGGUCUCUAGGAAWAAGUCUUGGCUAACUACGUGCCAGCAGCCGCGGUAAYC
rnacentral:rRNA from 1 species